UACGCAGUUCUUGUCUUAGGUUAGCUGUGUCAAGAUGGCGGUCGACGUGGCAAUUAAAUUGCAAUCACCAUUCAUGAAUAUUUACUAGAAUCAAGUGAUUUAGUGAUGCGAGUAUUUUGAAUGAAACGAAAGGACUUCAUUAAGAUGCCAUUCAUGGAAGGGGCGCUUUGGAAGUGGACAAAUUAUGUUACUGGAUCAUGUGAUCGUCAUGAAUAAUUUGGGGCAAAGAGCAACAUUGUUUCAAACCAUUGCAACGAACCAUACGCCCAAUAGCAAAAAGUUAUCAACUAAGUGGUCGAACUCUUCGUAAACUACCAUUCCUUGCACAUGCGCUGUACUCAAAAGCGCAAACGAUAACCUUAGAAGAGUUUU